CCUACGGGUGGCAGCAGUGGGGAAUAUUGGGCAAUGGAGGCAACUCUGACCCAGCAACGCCGCGUGAAUGAUGAAGGUCUUCGGAUUGUAAAGUUCUGUGAUGGGGGGUGAACACAAUGACGGUACCCCAAUAGCAAGCCACGGCUAACUACGUGCCAGCAGCCGCGGUAAUACGUAGGUGGCAAGCGUUAUCCUGAAUGACUGGGCGUAAAGGGUGCGUAGGUGGUUUAGUAAGUUGGCGGUGUAAUUCCGGGGCUCAACCUCGGCGCUACCGCCAAAACUAUUAGACUAGAGUGCAGGAGGGGUAAGUGGAAUUCCUAGUGUAGCGGUGGAAUGCGUAGAUAUUAGGAGGAACUCCGAUUGCGAAGGCAGCUCACUGGACUGCAACUGACACUGAUGUUCGAAAGUGUGGGUAUCAAACAGGAUUAGAUACCCUUGUAGUC
rnacentral:rRNA from 1 species